CUGGGUGUCGUCUACUGCCGGUAGGACACCGGGUUUAGGUCCCGGAAACGAGAGUUCGAGCCUCUCCACCCAGA
rnacentral:tRNA from 1 species